GUGAAACCAGCCUGACAUCCAGAAUGCUGCUCUUGAAAGCAAUCAUCUUCUCCUGCCUCUGGGUUUUUGGACAUGGGGAGUUGGAGCAACCUGAAAUAUCAGUUUCCAGAGUGACAGACCAAAGUGCCCAAAUAUCCUGUCACGUUUCCCUCCCAGAUUUUACCAAAGUAGAUAUUCACUGGUACAGACAGAAACCAAAUCAACACUUAGAGCACCUAACAUAUGUCCGGACAGACUAUAAUCAACGCCCCUUAGAAGGAAAGAACAAGAAAAUUGAAGCAAGGAAAAAUCUCCAAACUUCUACUUCAACCUUGCACGUAAAUUUCUUAAAGAAAGAAGAUGAAGCCACCUACUACUGUGCCUUCUGGUUAAACUCAGGAUGGAUCAAGAAAUUUGCAGAAGGAACUAAGCUUAUAGUAAUUCCCUCUGAUAAAAGCUUUGAUGCAGACAUGUCCCCCAAGCCCACCAUUUUUCUUCCUUCUGUUGCUGAAACAAAGCUCCACAAGUCUGGGACAUACCUUUGUCUUCUUGAGAAAUUCUUCCCUGAUGUUAUAAAGGUAUAUUGGAGAGAAAAGGGUGGCGAUAAGACUCUGAAAUCCCAGGAGGGAAACACAAUGAAGACCAGUGACACAUACAUGAAGGUCAGCUGGCUUACUGUGACUGGAAAGUCAAUGGAUAAAGAGCACAGAUGUAUUGUCAAACAUGAAAAAAAUAAGGGAGGAGUUGAUCAAGAGAUUCUGUUUCCUCCAGUAAAUACAGUUGCUACCACUAUUAAGCCUACAGAAGUUUAUUUGAAAACUGAAAAAGUUACUGCAACUGUUAAUGUUAGUCCCAGAAAAACGUGUUUGAGAAGUGAACAUGAUGUGCUACAGCUGCAGCUCACAAGCACGUCUGCCUACUACACCUACCUCCUUCUGCUCCUCAAGAGUGCCAUCCACUUUGCCAUCAUCGCCUUCUGUCUGUUUAGAAGAACACCUGUCUACGAUGAUGAGAAGAGUUCGUAACAAAUGAUGUACAACAGGAUUAUGUUGUCUUCACCCUUUAUUAUGCCAGUGAUGUCUGUUAAGGAUCUGGCCGGUCUUGCUUUUGAGCUUUGACUUCCUUGAAGUCACAUACGCAUCAUUAUUCUACAAAGGUUUUCAAACCAGGGAACAUGUGGAUCAACUUCACUCUACAACAAAGAGUAGCCCAGGGCAGCACCCAUUAUUCUGACUCUAGCCUCUCCAUGAGCCCAGAGUAUCACAGCCCUCAUCUAUAUAGCCUGCACCUUCCAAUCACAGCUCUUGGUAUCCUUUAACCACAUAAUGCCCUGAAAGCUUCCACUGUACAUGCCCUGAAGAGCCUUCUUUGCUGCUUGAAUUCUCUGCUGUUUUUCAAGAUAAAAUAAA